GAUCUGCGAUCGGUGAGUAUUACGUCCCUGCCCUUUGUACACACCGCCCGUCGCUACUACCGAUUGAAUGGCUUAGUGAGACCUUCGGAUCGGUAUUCAAAAGUUGGCAACAACAUUUGUUUGCUGAAAAGUUGUUCAAACUUGGUCAUUUAGAGGAAGUAAAAGUCGUAACAAGGUUUCCGUAGGUGAACCUGCGGAAGGAUCAUUAAUGAUUUUUUUUAAGCAACCCGAGCGAAAGCGAGGUUUUGCGAAUAUAUUUAAACCCCCCCACUCUUUAUAA
rnacentral:rRNA from 1 species